rnacentral:rRNA from 1 species
UACGUAGGGACCAAGCGUUGUUCGGAUUUACUGGGCGUAAAGGGCGCGUAGGCGGCAAUUCAAGUCAGCUGUGAAAUCUCCGAGCUUAACUCGGAACGGUCAGCUGAUACUGUUUUGCUAGAGUGCAGAAAGGGCAACCGGAAUUCUUGGUGUAGUGGUGAAAUGCGUAGAUAUCAAGAGGAACACCUGAGGCGAAGGCGGGUUGCUGGGCUGACACUGACGCUGAGGCGCGAAAGCUAGGGUAGCAAACGGG